AUCUGGUUAGAGAUUCUCCCUGGAGUGCAGGAACAAUGGACAGUCGGCAUACUUAUUAUCUGGUGCUUUUGGUUCGAUUUCGAUACCUAGCAAGGUAAACAUUUAAGGUUCCAAAAAUGGGAUCUCUACAAAUUUUUCCAUUGUGGGACCCGUAAGUGUGAUGAGUAUGUGUACACGAAAGGAGGAACCGCCUCCUACCAAACUGCUUAGCAUUUACAGUAGUAAAAUUAUGGUACUUACACGGACCUGAUAAAUUGAAUUUGCCCAACAACUCUCCAUCAGCACCUUGGCUCUUGCUUCAGUUGGAUCCCACUAGGCGAGCCAAACAUCAAUGACUGAGUUGUAGUUGGUAAUAUACUAUUUGCAAGAUCCUCGUUAAUAGAUACAGGCAGUGGUGGCAUCUGGCUCAUUAUGCCCGGCAUCUCUCUCAUAUCAUUCAGGAUGGCAGUAAUAUUGUUCCUUGUGCGACAAAAGAGGUCAAUGUUAUCCUGUAACUUGAACGUUGAAAGGUUAGCUAUGAUUUUACUAAAAGCUUGAGCAUUUUGUUCCAAGAGAUGCCUG
rnacentral:misc_RNA from 1 species